UCCUGGUUGAUCCUGCCAGUAGUCAUAUGCUUGUCUCAAAGAUUAAGCCGUUCUAACAAAGAACAACUCUCAACAACGGAUAUCUUGGCUCUCGCAACGAUGAAGAACGCAGCGAAAUGCGAUACGUAGUGUGAAUUGCAGAAUUCCGUGAACCAUCGAAUCUUUGAACGCAUAUUGCGCUCGACUCCUCGGAGAAGAGCAUGUCUGCCUCAGCGUCGGUUUACACCCUCACCCCUCUUCCUUAACAGGAGGCGCCUGUCGUGCUUGCUUAAGCCGGCAGCAGGGGUGGAUCUGGCUCUCCCAAUCGGAUUCACUCUGGUUGGGUUGGCUGAAGCACAGAGGCUUAAACUGGGACCCAAUUCGGGCUCAACUGGAUAGGUAGCAACACCCUCGGGUGCCUACACGAAGUUGUGUCUGAGGACCUGGUUAGGAGCCAAGCAGGAAACGUACUAUGUACGUACUCUGUAUUCGACCUGAGCUCAGGCAAGGCUACCCGCUGAACUUAAGCAUAUCAAUAAGCA
rnacentral:rRNA from 1 species